UUUCCCUCAAAAUAUUUUGUUUUAGUUUCCGUAGUUUCUCCCCUGGAACUCCUGAUGAGUUGUGCUGUUCAUCGCUCUUAUUUAUGAUAGGUGAGUAUAAUAAAACUACCUGUUAAAUAAACAGAAGUAUAUUCUAUCCUGCAAUGUUAUCCGCUUCCAUUUAAUUAAUGAAAUUUUUGCUAUGAUCCCAAGCUGUCUGUCACGUUGUGAGCAUUUGACAGAUAUUUUUUUUACUGUGUAUAAGUUUUUUUGACAAACUGAAGUCACUUCAUAAUCCGUAUUUUUUUUAAAAAUGGUUGCAUGAUGCAAAUAAUUCCCUAGCCACUAGCCAAUCCUAAGUAAGAAUAUUUUUCAAAAUAAUUGGUUAUGAGGAAAAUCAAAUUGAUACUUAUAUAUUUCUCAAGGCCUCGAGAGUUUUUUUCGAAAAUUAUCCGCACACGAGGAAAACAUGCUAGGCAGGCCGCCACGCGCAGACCUUGGAAAAAGUGUUCAAUGUUUCUCGGACCCAGAAUUUGCCUUUUUCAAAUGCUCCUUAAUUAUAAUGGUCGUAAAAUUGCAGAAGAAACAAAACUAUCUUCAAAUUCUAUUAACAAGAUCUGAAGAACACUUCGUAGCCUACUUAUCUCAAAAUAGACUCAAAUGGCAGAAAAAUAAAUGUGAUUCCUCAAAAUUCUCUCUUAAAAUAUGCGUGAAAAAUUCAAGUCUUGUUGCUAUAACGCAAAUGUUCCUCAGGAUCCAGUUUCCCGAGAUUCCUUUUUUCCAUGUCUGGCCUCGCGAGGCAAUUAUGUCAGUCAGCAAGUUUCUCAAGUGGGCAGCAUGCAGGCUUCACGUUCUUUACAAACGGGCAGGAUCAACAGUAAAUGACCAUAUAAAUCUAACUUGAAUACAUCGUUAAAAUGUUGUCCAUCUUUUUUAAAGAAAUUUGGUAUUGUAUUGGACGUUUGGUGAUUUAACAAGGGAAUCAUUGAUGCCGGCAUGUGCUUUACUGUAGUAGUAUUACGUCGUCUAUGUUAAAAGUUUGGGAUACAUUAUGACAACUGGUAUCAAAGCAACACAUGUCAGACAUGCAUGAUAAAGGUUUUCAAAAUACAGAUUGCAAAUGCAUAAAUUUUGUCCAUGCUCUAUAGAUUUAUUCCUGGGUGAAUAUCAAUAAAAAUGUAAAUAAA